rnacentral:lncRNA from 1 species
GAUGAAUUGUGUUUAGGCUAAUCAUGUUUAAAGUGUAUAAUUUGUUUGCAAUGUUUGCGUUAGGUUCGAGAAACGUAAUUAUUGCGUGUAGUCGUAUAUUAAUAACUACUGAUUUCGUACAAAAUUGUACAACGCAUCGCCGCUAGGUGUUUAAAUUCGCCAUCGCGUAGCACUAUUUAGGUUUAUAAUAUUUCCGUCGAUAUGCAUUCAUGUGCAUAAUGCAUUCCAUUCAGGUACGUUAAUUAAUCGCGUGAUGCGGAAGAUACCCCGAGUCGACCCCAAGCGCGGACUAAACCGCAGGAUGAUGCUGAUGGAUGAACUGGAAGAUGGAUAAUCUGAGCGAGUGCCAAGCCAAAGGAUGAUCGUCAAGUGGACAUCGCCUAACAAACACUAACCUAGUGUUACUCAGGCAAGCCCCGGUGCAUGCAACCCCUUCCUUGUGUUUUUAAAUACUUUUCGCACACUUUAAGUCUAGUGAAAUGUGCAUUAGGUUUAUAGGAGUUGCUUGAAACCCUUUGAUGCAUUGCCUUCCUUGAUAUCCAUACCUUUAUAGAUACUUCUGAUGAAGUAUCAAAAUAUGAUUUACAAAAUUUGCUUAGCCUUGCUUAGAGGUAAAUCUUGUGGAUAGAGGUUGUCCUUUGCGUUAAUGCCUAGCUCAGGGGUUAUCCUGAGGAAGGAUGGCUUCUGCCUGCAAGAAUAUUUUAAUUGGGAGCAAUGGUGGGAUCUUACUGCAAAGUUCCCUUUGAUGCUCUUUUCAUCCUAAGGAAUACAAACAAUCCUAAGGGUGGAAGUACUUAAAUCGGGACUUGGGCUAGGAACAGGUGAUGCUCCGCCUGGGUCAAUUAAGGAUUGGAUGCGUAUGUAGGCCUGAUAGAUCAAGGACUAUCUUAACUGGCCACAUGCCCUGGAAAUGGGA